AGCCUCUCGUGUAUUUCACUCGGGAGGCAAAUCAGCUCCGGGACCGUGGAGCAGCACGGCUGCCAGAGCUGCGUGUGCGUGGACGGCGAGCUCGUGUGUCGAACGGCCGCCGAGUGCGCCAAAGCCGUGCGGCCCCUCGCGCGCCGCUCCGGGCCGCGUGUGCCCACCUGUCUGCGGCUGCAGAACCACAGAUGCUCCAAGCCGCUGCUGCGGUAUGACCCGUGCGAGGUACAUCCAUGCCAGAGCGGGUACCGGUGCGAGCCGCAUCCGGAGCUCUGCGUGGACAGCCUCCAGCCAUGCGCCGAGCACACCUGCGUGCCGGAGACAUCGGAUGCCAUAGCUGACGCUGUAUCAGCGUGCGAGCAAUCCGUGGCCCCACUGAAUUCCGUCGAGGAAAGUACAUGGCGCCAACCCUACGUGGCUUGCCCGGUGGCUGCGGACAGGUGUGAAGUCCCCGGCGCCCACUGCACUACCUCACCCGACUGCCAAUCGCUAAACGCCAACUGCAGUCACGCGGCGCCGCCCUGCGGCCGCUCGCUGAGGCUGUAUUUCAGCGGCCGCCGCUUGGCGGCGCUGGGCGCGCG